GCAAGUCGAACGGUAACAUGGAUUGCUUGCAAUCUGAUGACGAGUGGCGCACGGGUGCGUAACGCGUAUGCAAUCUACCUUUUACAGGAGAAUAGCCCAGAGAAAUUUGGAAUAAUGCUCCAUAAUAUCAUUUAUCAGCAUUGGUUUAUGAUUAAAGCUCCGGCGGUAAAAGAUGAGCAUGCGUUCUAUUAGCUAGUAGGUGAGGUAACGGCUCACCUAGGCUACGAUAGAUAGGGGCCCUGAGAGGGGGAUCCCCCACACUGGUACUGAGACACGGACCAGACUCCUACGGGAGGCAGCAGUGAGGAAUAUUGGACAAUGGAGGAAACUCUGAUCCAGCCAUGCCGCGUGCAGGAUGACUGCCCUAUGGGUUGUAAACUGCUUUUAUAUAGGAAGAAACACUCCCACGUGUGGGGGCUUGACGGUACUAUAUGAAUAAGGAUCGGCUAACUCCGUGCCAGCAGCCGCGGUAAUACGGAGGAUCCAAGCGUUAUCCGGAAUCAUUGGGUUUAAAGGGUCCGCAGGCGGCCUGUUAAGUCAGAGGUGAAAUCCUACAGCUCAACUGUAGAACUGCCUUUGAUACUGAUAGGCUUGAGUUAUUGUGAAGGGGUUAGAAUGUGUGGUGUAGCGGUGAAAUGCUUAGAUAUCACACAGAAUACCCAUUGCGAAGGCAGAUCACUAACAAUAUACUGACGCUCAUGGACGAAAGCGUGGGGAGCGAACAGGAUUAGAUACCCUGGUAGUCCACGCCGUAAACGAUGGAUACUAACUGUU
rnacentral:rRNA from 1 species